ACGAACACAAAAAGUAACCGCCUUGUCACAACCCAACACCACUUCCCACCUCCCCUAUAAAAAUUCUUCCUUUUUUUUUUUAAUAUAUAUAAGAAUACUCCUUUCUCAUAAACAAAACCCAACCAUCUUUUCCUUCGUCGAUUAUUAGCGGAGGAAGGAGUAGAUCUCUGUUACUCAGCCGCGAAGUAUGAGUUAUUACAACCAGCAGCAGCCUCCGGUCGGCGUUCCGCCUCAGCAAGGUUAUCCGCCGGAAGGGUACCCUAAGGACGCUUAUCCACCGGCCGGGUAUCCUCCACAGGGGUACCCUCAGCAAGGGUACCCUCCGCAGUACGCUCCUCAGUACGGUCAGCCUCAGCCUCAGCCUCAACAGCAGCAGCAGAGUCAUAGCUCUGGUUUGCUUGAAGGAUGUUUGGCUGCUCUCUGCUGCUGCUGUCUUCUAGACGCUUGCUUCUGAUGAGAACCUGAAAAAGGGCGAUUCAAUUGAAGAUUGAUUUACGGCAACUGUGCAAGAAAUUUGAAUUCUAUAUUCAGUUCAUCUAGAAUGGUCUCUUUUGUUUCUGGGUUUCUCUCCUUUUCUGAAUAAUUAAAAACAUUUGCGUGAAAAUUCCUGUCUUUUUUUUUUUCUUUUCAUUUUGGUUCUUAGGUAUGUAAAUUUGUGGGAGAUUCUGAUUUUCUUCAUGGAAAUUGAAAUACGUCUUUGGAUUUUGAUCUAAA